GGUAACAAUAUAUUCUCUAAACGUACCAACGGGCGUAGAGGUGGAGGAAGACGAGGAAGAUGACGACGACGAAGAGGAUGAUGAUGGAGGAGAGCAUGAUUCGGCCCGAGAGGGCGUAGGAUUUAGAGGAGUCUUGUAGUUCGGCAUCGGGCCACUGGUUGACCGGAGAAUCUGAAGACAUUGAGGAUGGAGGGAGGGGUGUGUGUGUGGUUAAGGGUGGUUUAGAAAGAGGGUUAAAUGGAGACAAUUUAAGAAAGAAGAAUAGGAAGCUUCGAGGUUGGUUCCUACAAGAGUUGCAGAAAGCAGAUUUUCGUUGAUUGACAUUUGCCUGGAAGACGCCAAGCAUUGACGCGGGAUUUGUUUAAUGACCAAAUUGACCUUGGGUCUUUAGUUGCUUUUACACUAUAGAGUAGUUGGGAGUUGCGUUUACACUAGAGUAGUUGGCUGGAUUUACUAGUGUACUUUUAAGGUGAUAAAGUAGGAAAGAAAGGGCAUGUAAAUAUUUACUUGGUAUGAUUUUGGUGAUUUCGCUGAUGAUACAAUGAUGCUAUAAUGUUCUAUCUGUUAAUCGUGUUGAGUUGA
rnacentral:lncRNA from 1 species